AAAGCCUUAGUCUCUACAGCGUAACAGGAGAGUUACGAUAUCGACUAAAUAAAAGUCCCCGGCAACGGCGCCAAAAACUUGAUCGCUCGACUUUAUGAGUCGAAUUGGGGUACAAACUGCAAGUGCACAGUUCUAUCGCGUAGUUUUAAAAGAUAUCGAUCCCACAGGGACUUAUGAAUCGAUAUACCGUUAUCUAAGGUUACUUCGUAAAGCUAAGGCAGGUAAUACUU
rnacentral:lncRNA from 1 species